AUUGAACGCUGGCGGCAUGCCUUACACAUGCAAGUCGAACGGCAGCACGGGGGCAACCCUGGCGGCGAGUGGCGAACGGGUGAGUAAUGCAUCGGAACGUGCCCAGUAGUGGGGGAUAACCAGUCGAAAGACUGGCUAAUACCGCAUACGACCUAAGGGUGAAAGCGGGGGACCGUAAGGCCUCGCGCUAUUGGAGCGGCCGAUGUCUGAUUAGCUAGUUGGCGGGGUAAGAGCCCACCAAGGCGACGAUCAGUAGCUGGUCUGAGAGGACGACCAGCCACACUGGGACUGAGACACGGCCCAGACUCCUACGGGAGGCAGCAGUGGGGAAUUUUGGACAAUGGGCGCAAGCCUGAUCCAGCCAUGCCGCGUGCGGGAAGAAGGCCUUCGGGUUGUAAACCGCUUUUGGCAGGAACGAAACGGCGCAGGCCAAUACCUUGCGCUAAUGACGGUACCUGCAGAAUAAGCACCGGCUAGCUACGUGCCAGCAGCCGCCGUAAAAC
rnacentral:rRNA from 1 species